GACAGCAGCCGCCACGGUAAUACGUAGGUGGCAAGCGUUGUCCGGAAUUAUUGGGCGUAAAGCGCGCGCAGGUGGUUUAAUAAGUCUGAUGUGAAAGCCCCCGGCUCAACCGGGGAGGGUCAUUGGAAACUGGGAAACUUGAGUGCAGAAGAGGAGAGUGGAAUUCCACGUGUAGCGGUGAAAUGCGUAGAGAUGUGGAGGAACACCAGUGGCGAAGGCGACUCUCUGGUCUGUAACUGACGCUAAGGAGCGAAAGCGUGGGGAGCGAACAGGAUUAGAUACCCCCGUAGUCCCUGUCUCUUAUAC
rnacentral:rRNA from 1 species